GAUGAACGCUGGCGGCGUGCCUAAUACAUGCCAGUCGAGCGAACGGACGAGAAGCUUGCUUCUCUGAUGUUAGCGGCGGACGGGUGAGUAACACGUGGAUAACCUACCUAUAAGACUGGGAUAACUUCGGGAAACCGGAGCUAAUACCGGAUAAUAUUUUGAACCGCAUGGUUCAAAAGUGAAAGACGGUCUUGCUGUCACUUAUAGAUGGAUCCGCGCUGCAUUAGCUAGUUGGUAAGGUAACGGCUUACCAAGGCAACGAUGCAUAGCCGACCUGAGAGGGUGAUCGGCCACACUGGAACUGAGACACGGUCCAGACUCCUACGGGAGGCAGCAGUAGGGAAUCUUCCGCAAUGGGCGAAAGCCUGACGGAGCAACGCCGCGUGAGUGAUGAAGGUCUUCGGAUCGUAAAACUCUGUUAUUAGGGAAGAACAUAUGUGUAAGUAACUGUGCACAUCUUGACUGUACCUAAUCAGAAAGCCACGGCUAACUACGUG
rnacentral:rRNA from 1 species